rnacentral:rRNA from 1 species
GAUGAACGCUGGCGGCGUGCCUAAUACAUGCAAGUCGAGCGAACAGACGAGGAGCUUGCUCCUCUGACGUUAGCGGCGGACGGGUGAGUAACACGUGGAUAACCUACCUAUAAGACUGGGAUAACUUCGGGAAACCGGAGCUAAUACCGGAUAAUAUAUUGAACCGCAUGGUUCAAUAGUGAAAGACGGUUUUGCUGUCACUUAUAGAUGGAUCCGCGCCGCAUUAGCUAGUUGGUAAGGUAACGGCUUACCAAGGCAACGAUGCGUAGCCGACCUGAGAAGGUGAUCGGCCACACUGGAACUGAGACACGGUCCAGACUCCUACGGGAGGCAGCAGUAGGGAAUCUUCCGCAAUGGGCGAAAGCCUGACGGAGCAACGCCGCGUGAGUGAUGAAGGUCUUCGGAUCGUAAAACUCUGUUAUUAGGGAAGAGCAAAUGUGUAAGUAACUAUGCACGUCUUGACGGUACCUAAUCAGAAAGCCACGGCUAACUACGUG